rnacentral:tRNA from 1 species
GUUAUAGUUCAUUGGCAUAGCACCUGCCUGGCAAGCACAAGGUCCUGAGUUCAAUUCCCAGUAAC